AUGAAGAGACCUCUGCCACCCCGUCUCUCAUCAUGGGCUGGCGUGGAACCAGGGAAAGAUUUGGUCAUACCCUCCUCUUCUUCAAUCCAGCUUGAUCUAUGCUCGCAGGUUACGCCGACACCUCCAACAUCCUGGUAUCUUCCUUAUGUACACCCAUGUCUCCGUGCAGCAGCAGCCUCCUCCUAUUUCCACGCGCGUCCCCUUCAUCAUGCCUUCAACUUUCAUCCAAUUGCCACCUCUGGACUCUCCUCCCUCGAGCCCUAUAAUUCAUGGUUGUUUGCUGCCUCAAUUUCACCACCACUCAAGGGAGUCAAUCUGAGUGGCUUUCGUGGGCGUCAACUGAGCGGUAAUUUUCCUAAUCUCAGUUUCCAAGGUUCACUUUUUACAUCAUGCGUUCAUCAGCAUCAAAGAUGA
rnacentral:rRNA from 1 species